GGUUGUGUAGUGUAGCGGUUAGCACGUGGGAUUUUGACAAACAAAAUCUGAUAAUUUUCCUGAGACCCCGGUUCGAGCCCGGGCACGACCU